AACUGUUAACAAUGGAUCUCUUGGCUCUCGCAUCGAUGAAGAACGCAGCGAAAUGCGAUACGUAAUGUGCAUCGCAGAAUUCAGUGAAUCAUCGAAUCUUUGAACGCACCUUGCGCCCCUUGGUAUUCCGAGGGGCACACCCGUUUGAGUGUCGUCAAUAUUCUCAACCUUCUUGGUUUCUUUGACCAGGAGUGCUUGGACUUUGGAGGUUUUUCUUGCUGGCCUCUUUCGAAGCCAGCUCCUCCUAAAUGAAUGGGUGGGGUCCGCUUUGCUGAUCCUCGACGUGAUAAGCAUUUCUUCUACGUCUCAGUGUCAGCUCGGAACCCGCUUUCAAACCGUCUUUGGACAAAGACAAUGUUCGAGUUGCGACUCGACCUUACAAACCUUGACCUCAAAUCGGGUGAGACUACCCGCUGAACUUAAGCAUAUCAAUAAGCGGAGGCU
rnacentral:misc_RNA from 1 species